GGGAUUUAUUAUCCAGAACGGCUGCUCUAGA
rnacentral:piRNA from 1 species